CGCGUAGGCGGUUUGAUAAGUCAGAUGUGAAAGUCCACGGCUCAACUGUGGAAGUGCAUUCGAAACUGUCAGACUUGAGUAUCGGAGGGGAAAGUGGAAUUCCCGGUGUAGAGGUGAAAUUCGUAGAUAUCGGGAGGAACACCGGUGGCGAAGGCGACUUUCUGGACGAAUACUGACGCUGAGGCGCGAAAGCGUGGGGAGCAAACA
rnacentral:rRNA from 1 species